CACGCCGUAAACGAUGAGUACUAGGUGUUAGGGGGUUUCCGCCCCUUAGUGCUGCAGCUAACGCAUUAAGCACUCCGCCUGGGGAGUACGACCGCAAGGUUGAAACUCAAAGGAAUUGACGGGGGCCCGCACAAGCGGUGGAGCAUGUGGUUUAAUUCGAAGCAACGCGAAGAACCUUACCAGGUCUUGACAUCCCGAUGACCGCUCUAGAGAUAGAGUUUUCCCUUCGGGGACAUUGGUGACAGGUGG
rnacentral:rRNA from 1 species